UACGUAGGCAACGAGCGUUGUUCGGAGUUACUGGGCGUAAAGAGUGCGUAGGCGGUUUUCUAAGUUUGGUGUGAAAUCUCCCGGCUUAACUGGGAGGGUGCGCCGAAGACUGGAAGGCUUGAGUAUGGGAGAGGUAAGCGGAAUUCCUGGUGUAGCGGUGAAAUGCGUAGAUAUCAGGAGGAACACCUGCGGUGUAGACGGCUUACUGGACCAUCACUGACGCUGAGGCACGAAAGCGUGGGUAGCAAACAGG
rnacentral:rRNA from 1 species